UACGUAGGGGGCUAGCGUUGUCCGGAAUCAUUGGGCGUAAAGAGCGUGUAGGCGGCCCGGUAAGUCCGCUGUGAAAGUCGGGGGCUCAACCCUCGAAUGCCGGUGGAUACUGUCGGGCUAGAGUGCGGAAGAGGCGAGUGGAAUUCCCGGUGUAGCGGUGAAAUGCGCAGAUAUCGGGAGGAACACCUAUGGCGAAGGCAGGUCUCUGGGCACUUACUGACGCUGAGGAGCGAAAGCGUGGGGAGCAAACAGG
rnacentral:rRNA from 1 species